UACGGAGGGGACAAGCGUUGUUCGGAUUUACUGGGCGUAAAGGGUGCGCAGGCUGAUAGAUAAGUGGAUUGUGAAAUCCUAAGGCUCAACUUUAGAAUUGCUUUCCAAACUAUCUAUCUUGAGUAUGGGAGAGGUAAGUGGAAUUCUCGGUGUAGCGGUGAAAUGCGUAGAUAUCGAGAGGAACACCAAUAGUGAAGACGGCUUACUAGCCCAAUACUGACGCUCAUGCACGAAGGUUAGGGGAG
rnacentral:rRNA from 1 species